GACGAACGCUGGCGGCGUGCCUAAUACAUGCAAGUCGAACGCCGUUGCGAACGGGUGAGUAACGCGUAGGUAACUGCCUCAUAGCGGGGGAUUACUAACGGAAACGCUAGCCAAUACCGCAUACUGUUAGAUGGACCUGUGUUGUAUUAGCUAGUGGGUGAGGUAAAGGCCCACCAAGGCGACGAUACAUAGCCGGCCUGGGAGGGGGAUCGGCCAACCUGGGACUGGGACACGGCCCCGACUCCGUCGGGGAGCAACAGUAGGGGAACAUCGGCAAUGGGCGGAAGUCUUGCCGAGCAACGCCGCGUGAGUGAAGAAAGUUUUCGGGGCGUGAAGCUCUGUUGUGAGAGGAGCGGUAACUAACCAGAAAGGGACGGCUAACUACGUGCCAGCCGCCGCGGUAAUAC
rnacentral:rRNA from 1 species